rnacentral:rRNA from 1 species
CAGCAGCCACGGGAAUACGGAGGGUGCAAGCGUUAAUCGGAAUUACUGGGCGUAAAGCGUGCGUAGGUGGUGGUUUAAGUCCGUUGUGAAAGCCCUGGGCUCAACCUGGGAAUUGCAGUGGAUACUGGGUCACUAGAGUGUGGUAGAGGAUAGUGGAAUUUCCGGUGUAGCAGUGAAAUGCGUAGAGAUCGGAAGGAACAUCUGUGGCGAAGGCGACUAUCUGGGCCAACACUGACACUGAGGCACGAAAGCGUGGGGAGCAAACAGGAUUAGAUACCCCAGUAGUCCCUGUCUCUUAUAC